GACGAAGGGGGCUAGCGUUGUUCGGAAUUACUGGGCGUAAAGCGCGUGUAGGCGGUUGUUCAAGUCAGGUGUGAAAGCCUUGAGCUCAACUCAAGAAAUGCACUUGAUACUGGAUGACUAGAGGACCGGAGAGGAUAGUGGAAUUCCCAGUGUAGUGGUGAAAUACGUAGAGAUUGGGAAGAACACCAGUGGCGAAGGCGGCUAUCUGGACGGUUUCUGACGCUGAGAAGCGAAAGCAUGGGGAGCGAACAGG
rnacentral:rRNA from 1 species